GAUGAACGCUGGCGGCGUGCCUAAUACAUGCAAGUCGAGCGAACAGACGAGGAGCUUGCUCCUCUGACGUUAGCGGCGGACGGGUGAGUAACACGUGGAUAACCUACCUAUAAGACUGGGAUAACUUCGGGAAACCGGAGCUAAUACCGGAUAAUAUAUUGAACCGCAUGGUUCAAUAGUGAAAGACGGUUUUGCUGUCACUUAUAGAUGGAUCCGCGCCGCAUUAGCUAGUUGGUAAGGUAACGGCUUACCAAGGCAACGAUGCUUAGCCGACCUCAGAGGGUGAUCGGCCACACUGGAACUGAGACACGGUCCAGACUCCUACGGGAGGCAGCAGUAGGGAAUCUUCCGCAAUGGGCGAAAGCCUGACGGAGCAACGCCGCGUGAGUGAUGAAGGUCUUCGGAUCGUAAAACUCUGUUAUUAGGGAAGAACAAAUGUGUAAGUAACUAUGCACGUCUUGACGGUACCUAAUCAGAAAGCCACGGCUAACUACGUG
rnacentral:rRNA from 1 species